rnacentral:rRNA from 1 species
UACAGAGGUCCCAAGCGUUGUUCGGAUUCACUGGGCGUAAAGGGCGCGUAGGCGGCAGGCCAAGCGUGCGGUGAAAGUCCGGGGCUCAACCCCGGAUCUGCCGUGCGGACUGGUUUGCUAGAGCACUGUAGAGGCGAGUGGAAUUCCGGGUGUAGCGGUGGAAUGCGUAGAGAUCCGGAAGAACACCGGUGGCGAAGGCGGCUCGCUGGGCAGUGGCUGACACUGAUGCGCGACAGCAUGGGGAGCAAACAGG